rnacentral:rRNA from 1 species
UACGGAGGGAGCUAGCGUUGUUCGGAAUUACUGGGCGUAAAGCGCGCGUAGGCGGUCCAUCAAGUCAGAGGUGAAAGCCCGGGGCUCAACCCCGGAACUGCCUUUGAAACUGGCGGACUAGAAUCUUGGAGAGGUUAGUGGAAUUCCGAGUGUAGAGGUGAAAUUCGUAGAUAUUCGGAAGAACACCAGUGGCGAAGGCGGCUCACUGGCUCGGUACUGACGCUGAGGUGCGAAAGCGUGGGGAGCAAACAGGAUUAGAAACCCUUGUAGU